GCAUACAAUACACCGACUUGCUUCUUAAUAAAUUAUAUUAUAUGGGAAUAAUAAUUUUAAAGGACAAUCUUCAAUGUUGCGAAAAAGUUUCAGUAAGCGCUUUUUGUCGCCGUCGCUUGCCUGUUGUUAUGGUGAAACUUAGGAUGGCUCAAUCUGUCAGGCAAGCCGUCCAGCUAGUUGAGCAAGCACACGUCCGGGUUGGGCCAGACACCAUUACUGAUCCUGCUUUUUUAGUGACGAGGAACUUGGAAGAUUUUGUUACGUGGGUGGACACAUCGAAGAUCAAAAGACAUAUCAUGAAGUAUAACGACAAGCUGGAUGACUACGACUUGUUAUAAUAAAAUUAU